rnacentral:rRNA from 1 species
UACAGAGGGGGCAAGCGUUAUUCGGAAUUACUGGGCGUAAAGCGUGCGCAGGCGGCUUUGCAAGACAGAUGUGAAAUCCCCGGGCUUAACCUGGGAACUGCAUUUGUGACUGCAAGGCUGGAGUGCGGCAGAGGGGGAUGGAAUUCCGCGUGUAGCAGUGAAAUGCGUAGAUAUGCGGAGGAACACCGAUGGCGAAGGCAAUCCCCUGGGCCUGCACUGACGCUCAUGCACGAAAGCGUGGGGAGCAAACAGG